ensembl:miRNA
UGGGUAGUCUUCUCCAUCUUACGAGGCAGCAUUGGAUUUCAUUAUUUUCUCUAAUACUGCCUGGUAAUGAUGAUGAUGGCUGUCCAC